UUCACUAAAGGGCCUGACACAUAAAUGCU
rnacentral:piRNA from 1 species